rnacentral:rRNA from 1 species
GACGAACGCUGGCGGCGUGCUUAACACAUGCAAGUCGAGCGGUAAGGCCCUUUCGGGGUACGACGAGCGGCGAACGGGUGAGUAACACGUGGGUGACCUCGCCCUUACGCUCUGGGAGUAAGCCUGGGAAACGUGGGUCGUAAUACCGGAUAUGACUCCAUGACGCAUGUUGUGGGGUGGAAAGCCUUGUGCGGCUAGGGAGUGGGCCUGCGGCCUAUCAGCUUGUUGGUGGGGUGAGGCCUACCAAGGCGACGACGGGUAGCCGGCCUGAGAGGGCGACCGGCCACACUGGGACUGAGACA